UGAGGACUUGCUUUGCAUGACGCGAAGAGAACGUUUGGAAAGGACUUGAAGUGGAGCAGAAAGCAAAGCCCACGGAGAGCAGCUAAGGUCAGAAGAGAAAUAACCCAGCAGGAGAGGAGCUCACAUCUGAGGCACUGUACUGCACAACAAAUGUAUGGAGAAGUUUGAAGAUUUUAAAGGUGUUGGAAAACUGAAAUGUAAAAUAUGUAAAAUAUGAAGCAGCAAGUAAAUUUAUUUCAAUCUUUUUGCUUCUUGUAAUAAUUUUAUUUUCUAUGUACAUUUUUUUUGCAACUGGCAGCUUCACAAUUCAGUAUUCUUCCUUGAGAAGAUAUUGCAAAGCUGGUACCUUCAGUUACAUAUGUGAAACCCUGCUAUGGAUGUCUCUGGGUCCCAUGUCUUUCAUGACAGGGCAAUUAUGUGUUAAUGGAGUAUAAAAUCUCUGUCUUACUGGUAUAAUGGGGGGAAAAAACUGUGUAAAUAUGAGUCAUUUAUUAAUAAACCUUCUUUCUAACUAUU